rnacentral:lncRNA from 1 species
CUCCCUUCUCCCCUCCUACCUCUUUCCUUUUCCUUUUUCUCCCUUCUGCUCAAACUAGCUUAGUUCUAUUUCUGUGACUUGUGGCCAAAGCCCCUUCACUGUUGCUCUCACCUCCUGGGUAGGCAGCUCCCUGGGAGUGUGGGCUGGGAGUUAGUCUUCCCCCCUGCCUGGCGCACAGGCCGUGGGCCCGGAGGGACAGCUCGGGGAGUGUGUGUUGACCACAUCUGGCCUUCCUCUGGCGUGACUCAGCCUGGAGUCAGCACGUUAUCUGUUCAGGGAAAUGUGCCUUUGAUUCUGUUCCUCGGUGCUUAUAAUUUCAUUAUUAUUUCCGCAAUGACAUCCCAUUGGUCCUCAGUUCCUCAGUUGGUCCUCAAUUCAUUCUGACUCAUUUCACUUGAGUCAUGGCUUAAUUAAGUUGUUCUGUAGCACACAACGGCCAGGGGACUUUCCUUCUUUCCAUGAGUGACUAUUUUUCUCUAGGUUGGGAUCGUUCUCUUUUCCAUUCAUUACUUCUUUUCUCUUGUAUAGCAUAUUUGCCUAGUUGUGCUUUUAUUGUUUUCAUAUUGUUUAUGCCUGCACCAUUCUGACAGCCCGAAGGAACGUCUCUGGGUGGAGAAUGAGGAAGUCUCUCUUCCCUGAGAUUUCAUCAGAAGUCCUGCUUUAGGGUACCCUUCUCCAGGGUUGAGAGUAUGGGUACUGCUCAGUAGGAGAUUCCCCUGGGAUCUUGACUGCUCCUGUAAUUCAGAGUAUUGUCUUAGAGACUUUGCUUCCAUCAGAUGGAUUCUGCCGAUGCUUCAGGUUCCCUGGUUCACCCGCUUCUCUGAGCAUCAGUCUCCGUUGUUUUGUUGUGAGACAGAAGAAGGAGAAGGAGGAGGAAGAGAAGGAUGAGGAGGAAAGGAGGAGGAAGAGGAGCAGAAGGAGGAAGGGGAGGGGCAGAACAACCAUCACCAUGGCCAUCCCCCGCCAGAGCACCCACCCCACUUGCUUUCUUCUCCUCUUGGUGUCUGUGAGAAAGCCCAGGAUUUUGUCACCUCCCAGCCCAGUCUCUGGGACGAGGAGCCUCGGUGGCAUGGAACUUCCACAGGGACAGUUCAGUCGGCUGCCUCACUGGGGACUUCCAUCCUGGCAGUGCCUGGGCUCCUCAGGAAGACAGUGGUCAGUUGAGUCCUUGCCAAGCCAGGCUGGCUUCGAGGAGGAGUGAUUGAGGCGAUUGUUUUCAGUGGCUUUGCGACAAGAUCCCACAUUCAGCCUGAUAAUGCAGACUCUUUCAAGGUAGGGAGUGUGCAUUUAAGUCCAUGAGGAGGAGCUGGCUUCGAGGACACACAACACCUCAAGGCCAGAUGGACAGGGGUUUGUCCAUCCUCGUGGGCUCCGUUCAUCCUGGGGCUCCAGCCUGUUCUUGCUUUCCCACCUGGCAGCCAUCUUCCUGGCCCCACGGACAGCCCUGUGGACUUUAAGCUCCAGUGCCAGAUGGAAAGACAACAGCCUUGGGAGACUGCUUAACAAGCUCCCCAAAGGGUCAGAGCCUGGAAACAAUGUUCCUUCAAUCCUUUGCCAGCAGGGAUCUUCUUUAGUUUCUGCCAAUAAGGGCCACUGGUGUAAAAUUUGGAAACCAGACAAAGAGAAGCUGACUUUUGGCAAUGGCGUGAGACAUGGGCAUCAAUAAAGGCUGGGUGAGCUCUGCCAGUGGCUUUCAGGCGUGAGUCAUCUGUUCACACAGUUGAGAUCUGCAGUGGCUGUCCCUGCAGUCUCCACUUCCUGGAUUCCUGAAUGCUUCCGAAGCUUCCCUGACCUUGACUCUCUCCCCAACAGCUUCGUAAGCCUGUAAUCUCCUGCAUUAAUCUCCUCUCCAUUGAAGGACCUGGAGGGUUUCCAUUUUCCCAGGCAAACCCUGUCUGAGACGUAUCCCCACUAGCACUGCAUAAGAGCUCCCAGGGCCCCACCUCCUCACCACACAGUGCUUGUCAACCCUUCGGUCAGUUGCGGAAGUGAACAAUAGUAUCUCGUUGUAGUUUUAGUUUCAGAAUUGUGCGUGUAGAAUUGAUGUUUUGUUUGUAUGUUUAACAGCCAUUUGUAUUUUCUUUUUUAUAAACCAGGACUGGAAGUUUGCUUUAGUGCCCGUCUUCUAACUCUAACUUUAUACACCCUACUCAAUCCUCUACUGACUCCACACAUUGAACAAUGGCAGCGCAAGUCUAUCUCAACUUCCUCAGACUGGCUUCCUUGCUCCUCAGCUUGCAGAUGGCCUAUUGUGGGACUUCAUCUUGUGAUCGUGUGAGUCAAUAUUGCUUAAUAAACUCCCUUUCAUAUAUACAUCUAUCCUGUUAGUCCUGUCCUUCUAGAGAACGCUGACCAAUACACUGCGUUUCAUUGGUGCUUGUAUCUGUCUCCGUCCUGCUUUCAGUUGGGUUUACCUUUCGGAUAUGAUUUUCUGGUUUCCUCAUAUUUUUUCCUGAGCUUUGUCACUUUUU